rnacentral:rRNA from 1 species
GUCGAGCGGUAACAGGGGUAGCUUGCUACCCGCUGACGAGCGGCGGACGGGUGAGUAAUGCAUAGGAAUCUGCCCGAUAGUGGGGGAUAACCUGGGGAAACCCAGGCUAAUACCGCAUACGUCCUACGGGAGAAAGGGGGCUCCGGCUCCCGCUAUUGGAUGAGCCUAUGUCGGAUUAGCUAGUUGGUAAGGUAAUGGCUUACCAAGGCAACGAUCCGUAGCUGGUCUGAGAGGAUGAUCAGCCACAUCGGGACUGAGACACGGCCCGAACUCCUACGGGAGGCAGCAGUGGGGAAUAUUGGACAAUGGGGGCAACCCUGAUCCAGCCAUGCCGCGUGUGUGAAGAAGGCCCUCGGGUUGUAAAGCACUUUCAGCGAGGAAGAACGCCUAUCGGUUAAUACCCGGUAGGAAAGACAUCACUCGCAGAAGAAGCACCGGCUAACUCCGUGCCAGCAGCCGCGGUAAUACGGAGGGUGCAAGCGUUAAUCGGAAUUACUGGGCGUAAAGCGCGCGUAGGUGGCUUGAUAAGCCGGUUGUGAAAGCCCCGGGCUCAACCUGGGAACGGCAUCCGGAACUGUCAGGCUAGAGUGCAGGAGAGGAAGGUAGAAUUCCCGGUGUAGCGGUGAAAUGCGUAGAGAUCGGGAGGAAUACCAGUGGCGAAGGCGGCCUUCUGGACUGACACUGACACUGAGGUGCGAAAGCGUGGGGUAGCAAACAGGAUUAGAUACCCUGGUAGUCCACGCCGUAAACGAUGUCGACCAGCCGUUGGGUGCCUAGAGCAUUUUGUGGCGAAGUUAACGCGAUAAGUCGACCGCCUGGGGAGUACGGCCGCAAGGUUAAAACUCAAAUGAAUUGACGGGGGCCCGCACAAGCGGUGCAGCAUGUGUUUUAUUUCGAUGCAACGCGAAGAACCUUACCUACCCUUG